UAUGGACACUACCAUGGGUUUGGGG
rnacentral:piRNA from 1 species